UACGAAGGGGACUAGCGUUGUUCGGAAUUACUGGGCGUAAAGGGCGCGUAGGCGGUCUUGUAAGUCUUGUGUGAAAUCCCUCGGCUCAACUGAGGAACUGCACGGGAUACUGCGAGACUUGAGUUCGGGAGAGGGAAGCGGAAUUCCGGGUGUAGCGGUGAAAUGCGUAGAUAUCCGGAGGAACACCGGUGGCGAAGGCGGCUUCCUGGACCGAUCACUGACGCUGAGGCGCGAAAGCUAGGGGAGCAAACGGG
rnacentral:rRNA from 1 species